rnacentral:rRNA from 1 species
AUUGAACGCUGGCGGCAUGCCUUACACAUGCAAGUCGAACGGUAACGCGGGGCAACCUGGCGACGAGUGGCGAACGGGUGAGUAACGCAUCGGAACGUGCCCAGUAGUGGGGGCUAGCCCGGCGAAAGCCGGAUUAAUACCGCAUACGACCUACGGGUGAAAGAGGGGGAUCGCAAGACCUCUCGCUAUUGGAGCGGCCGAUGUCAGAUUAGGAAGUUGGUGGGGUAAAGGCCUACCAAGCCUACGAUCUGUAGCUGGUCUGAGAGGACGACCAGCCACACUGGGACUGAGACACGGCCCAGACUCCUACGGGAGGCAGCAGUGGGGAAUUUUGGACAAUGGGCGCAAGCCUGAUCCAGCCAUGCCGCGUGCGGGAAGAAGGCCUUCGGGUUGUAAACCGCUUUUGUCAGGGAAGAAACGCUCUGGACUAAUAAUCUGGGGUAAUGACGGUACCUGAAGAAUAAGCACCGGCUAACUACGUGCCAGCCGCCGCCGUAAUAC